CCCAUUUACUAAUCUUAUUAAAUCAUCUCCUAAUGUAUUUAGCUAAGAUUAUUUUACUCAUCUGAAUUUUGAUAGAUUAGCUCUGUAUAUGUGAUGAGUACCUUCUCCUUGGGGGUAUAUAUUCCAUAUAUGCCAGGGAAAACUCUUUGUCAUUGGCUAGAUUAGCAAGCAACAAGGUGAUCAUGGAAAGCCCUUUAAUUAGUCUAUAUUUAAUUUAAUUAGUCUGAACAGCAAAUUAAUUCAGGGUACAGUAACAAAAGAUGUAGAAGUGCUAACUGAUAAUGAAAAGUGAAAUUAGAUAAUGUAUAGAAUGAUUUUGAAAGUAUUUUUUUUUUCCUUGUUCUGGCCAUAGCCCCCCUCCACUCCUUUCUGUCGUCUUCAUCCAAAUGGCUACUUCUCUGAUUGUCCAUUAUUCGAUCAACAAUUAACCCCAGGGAAGAGAAUCUAGGAUUUCCCAGAAAGGCAUUAUUAGCCACCUUUCCUGCAGACAUGGUGAUGCAUCUUGGGAAGAGAAACUCAAAUUAGCUACCAGAAGGCUGAAAUCUUUCUUCAAAUUCAGUUCUGGCUAUAGGACAUCUCUUCCCAAACACCUACCAGAUCAUCGAAUCCAGCAUGUUGCAGAUGGAGUGGAGGGUCUGGGGCCAGGUACCUGCUUCACGUCAAUUGUCCAACUUCCCAGUUCUGAUGAAGUUGCCACCAGGCUCCACUCUUCCUUCCCCAUCAGUGCUUGCCUCACACUUGGUCCCAUCCAGUUCCCCUAUUUUACCUGUGAGACAGUUUUAACAACCUUGUCCUCUUCCCUAGCCCCCACGCUCCAUUCUCCAUUAGGCAUUGCUUAUCUUUGACUGGACUUUUGAACUUGUCCUUGAGUGGCUCUAUCUCCAUUUUCUCUUCUCCAGUGAAUCCUACACAUGAGUACCCAAUGAAACUUACAAAAACAUGUUUCAAAAUCAUUCCUGCUAAGAAGACAAUCAUAGCUUGCCUAGAAAAUUAGUAAUAAACUCCUACCGUUUCCACACUAGGCUUCCACACUAGGCCGUUCCUAUCAUAACCUCAACUUUGUUUCAGUUCUUCUUGCCAUUUCAUCUUUCUGUUCCCUGUCUAUCCUUUUUUUUCUUGUGAAAUAUUAAUUUUCUUUUAUUAUUUCUGAUGCACCACCCCAAAACCAAUCCCCUGCUUCUGACUCACUAAUGAGUGUUUCUUCCAUGUUCUAGACAAGAUGUCCACUUGUUGGGCCAAGUCUUUCCUACUUUCAUGCCUCUCCCUUUCCCUUCACCUCCUUGGUUAAAUCUUGGUUCUUUCAUCCUUGCUUAGGCUAGGAAAAUAGUUUCCUAGCUAGGCUACCUAGUUCUGUAUUCUCCAUUGUUAAACCCAGUCAGCAUUAUCCUUGUCAGAGUAACAAUAUCAGAAUACACAAUUUUACCUUGUCAAUUUCCUGUUCAAAAGCUAGAAUGGCUCCUUAUUUACUAUAAUCAAAAUCCAAAGAGGACACCAUAUGGCCCAACUACAGGGAACCCUACUGAGGUUUUAUUCUACUGGAGUUCAGGCAUCUUAGUUUAGCAUUAAGUGGUAUUUUGAGAACCAUUAGUGGAAAUGUUAUUACAACCUGCCUGUCUACUUUCCUGACUCCUGCAAGGCAUACAUAUGCCCCAAGAAAAGGAGAACCACUCCUUUCAGGUGUAUUGGGGAAGCAAUGGCUCAAAUAGGUUCUCCUUCCUGAAGGACUUGAAAAUAUCUUUAAGCUGCUAAUGUGCCUUAUGAAUCUCCAAUAAGAAUCUCCAUGGAACAGGGUGGUUUUUGUUUUCCUCCAUCACUCCUGUAUUUCCCAGAACACCUGAGUUCCACAACCUAGAGUUCGUCCCUGUACAUCCUCGGCAGUCCUCGUCCCAGGUCAAAGGCCACUUCUGAAUGACCAUCUUGAUGGAAGGCACCGUCCCCUCCCUAUGCUGUCAUCCUGUUUUAUUUUCUUCCUAAGACUUAUUGCACUUUGAUGUGAUGGUGCUUGUUACUUGUUACUUGCUUGUUGUUUUUCCCUCUAGGAUGUAAGGUCCAAGGCAAUCAACAUUCUCUCUCAUCUGUUGCUAUCUCUCCAUUUAGGAGAGUACCUGAUAUACUUAAUAAAGUUUUUUCUUUUUUUUUUUUUCAGAAGAAAUGUAUGUUCCCCCCAAAAGCCUCGCUUAUAUUUGUCUCCUUUUUUCUCCUUUUUUCUCUAUUUUACAAAGUGGAAAUAAAACUUAUCUGAGAUUUUCCUUAAUGGUCUGCCUCAUCCCAAAGUAAUAGCUCUUCUACCUAACUUCUGGAAUGUUAGUUACUGAAUAAGUCAAUUUAUUUUGAACAUCUAACAUAUAUAUGUAUAUAUAUAUGCAUGUAAUAUAUGUGCAUGUGUGUGUGUGUAUAUAUAUAAAAUUUUUUUUUUUUGGCAUAGAAAUUCUACCUUUCUCUCUCCUCACUAUAGUGUAUUUGACUUGUGACCAGGAUCUGUGCCAUACUUUGGGUGUCUCCGAGAACUGAGCAGACAGGGCUUCCCAGGGAAGCAGGAAAUAUCUAUGACUUGAUUAAGUAGAUAUCCCCUUUCUACCCCCUUGAAGGAGGCAGUGCUGUGCUCAUAUGUGGAGUGGCUGGAUGAGCUCUGUCCUAGCAGGAAGUGUAUCUGAUGCUGGGAAGGAGGUAGAGGGCAGGUUUAUACAGUAGGAGAAUCUUGUAGAGACUUGCUCUGGGCCCUCCUGCACAUGAGCUUUCUGGCAUUUAAGUACAUUUGGUUAAGUCUUCCCAGCUGGGAGGAACAUGGGGGAAAAAAUUCUCCCUACUGGCCUGUGGAAAAGGAAUUGAUGGUGUAAAUCAGCCAUGGAAGGAGGGAAUGUGGACCUUUCAAAGGAGCAAAGGAGAAUUUGCCUCUUCUCAGUUUGCAGAAAGAUAGUUUGCCCUUACCUAGCCAUUUUUAAAAGUGUGUAUGAUGUGCUGUACCUGUUUCCUUAAAAAAAUGCUUAAUUUACAAUAGUACAAAGUGCUUGUACACACAUGGUUUCAUAUACAAUAUGACAGAGGGAAAGUAUGGAAUAUAUAACUGAUCAGAUAGUUUUGCUAAUAGCCAAGAGGUUUUAGAUUUAAACAUAAUAUACACAGUCAAUUCUGAUAUAUUCUCAACUUUAAAAUUAUUUCUGAUGCUCAGAAGAAGUAGCAAUUAUUGGGAGGAUUUGGGGUGAAAAGUAUAAUGAAGAAUUUCAGGAAAGAGGGAGGUUUGGGAUCAAAUAAUACAGUAUGAGUGAGUCAUGUAGACAUACGUGGUCUUAGAUUUGACAGAGACAGCAACACCUCUCUGGCAUAAGGAACCUUGGAUUGAGACCACACUUCCUGUAACAAAUCAAUAGCCAUGUGUAUUUUUAUGUUAAGUCAUUUAACUGUUGAGCCGUCUUUAAGAUCAUCACAGCAAUGCCAUUUCUUUGAGAAAUGAGAUGUCCUUUGCUGAGACAGGUUAAAGUAUUGGCUCUUCAUCCAAGUGAUGUGAAUUAGGAACAUAUGGAGAAUCUAC
rnacentral:lncRNA from 1 species